rnacentral:rRNA from 1 species
GAUGAACGCUGGCGGCGUGCCUAAUACAUGCAAGUCGAGCGAACGGACGAGAAGCUUGCUUCUCUGAUGUUAGCGGCGGACGGGUGAGUAACACGUGGAUAACCUACCUAUAAGACUGGGAUAAUUUCGGGAAACCGGAGCUAAUACCGGAUAAUAUUUUGAACCGCAUUGUUCAAAAGUGAAAGACGGUCUUUCUGUCACUUAUAGAUGGAUCCGCGCUGCAUUAGCUAGUUGGUAAGGUAACGGCUUACCAAGGCAACGAUGCAUAGCCGACCUGAGAGGGUGAUCGGCCACACUGGAACUGAGACACGGUCCAGACUCCUACGGGAGGCAGCAGUAGGGAAUCUUCCGCAAUGGGCGAAAGCCUGACGGAGCAACGCCGCGUGAGUGAUGAAGGUCUUCGGAUCGUAAAACUCUGUUAUUAGGGAAGAACAUAUGUGUAAGUAACUGUGCACAUCUUGACGGUACCUAAUCAGAAAGCCACGGCUAACUACGUG